rnacentral:rRNA from 1 species
AGUGAACGCUGGCGGCGUGCUUAACACAUGCAAGUCGAACGAGAACGGAUUAUAGCUUGCUAUAAUUGUCAGCUAAGUGGCGCACGGGUGAGUAAUGUAUAGAUAACCUGCCCUUAAGAAAGGAAUAACAGUUGGAAACGACUGCUAAUGCCCUAUAUGCCUUUAAUACAUAAGUAUGCAAGGGAAACGCUUUAGUGCUUAAGGAUGGGUCUGUAUGGUAUCAGCUUGUUGGUGAGGUAAUGGCUCACCAAGGCUAUGACGCCUAACUGGUUUGAGAGGAUGAUCAGUCACACUGGAACUGAGACACGGUCCAGACUCCGUACGGGAGGCAGCAGGUGGGGAAUAUUGCACAAUGGAACGAAAGUCUGAUGCAGCAACGCCGCGUGGAGGAUGACACUAUUUCGGUGACGUAAACUCCUUUUAUAUAGGAAGAUAAUGACGGUACUAUAUGAAUAAGCACCGGCUAACUCCGUGCCAG